rnacentral:lncRNA from 1 species
GUAUAACCCUUUCCAUCUUAGUCCUUCAGUAACAGUAACUUUUACCCACUCAAUAUGAUCUUCAACCCUUAUCCUCUGUUUUUAAGGAACAUCGGUUUUUCGUACAGUUGGGGGUAUUCAAUUAGUGGCUAUGAAUUUCUAAAAGGAUAUGGUAUAUCAAGUACUUCAGCGUUUGCUCAAGACUGUGCCAGAAUUACUCCCCCCGCCCCCACAUACACACACCCUUCCUGUAUAUAGUAUUCUCUUGCUUCUUUGCUGUGAUACAAGCUGAACCUAAGGCUUUAUGUAUGUUAGGUAAGCAUCCACUAUCCAGCUAUGUCUUUAGUCCUAUAUCCUGUUUUAUUAUUGAACUAUCUUCUCCUAAUUGUUCACCAUUCUCCUCUGUUCCCUUUAAACUUCUGUUCUUUCUCCUCUUUUCUCCCCACUCCCCUUCUAUCCAUUUCUUCCUCUCCCCUCCUCUUUCUUCUCUUUCUCUUUUCUUUCCUCCUUUCUUUCCCUCCUCUUCUACCCUCUUCUCUUCCCCUCCUCUUCCCCUCCUUUUUUCUUUCUCCUCAUCCUGUUCCUUCUUCUCUUCCAUUUUUUUCUCUUUCUCCUCCUCCAUCUUCUUGUCUCCUUACUCUUGGCAAAACUUUAUCCUUCAUUAGGGAAGUCAAGACCAGAAAAUAUUAAACCUUUCUAGAAAAUGACCUAGAGUCAGCUUUAAAAUUUUUGUACUCCAUAAUAGAGUUCUAAAGAACAUUCACCCACAAUAGAUUUCUAGGUACCUAAAAGGAGAGGAGACCCAUCCACAUAUGAAAUUGUCAUUCUCAGCCUUAUCUUGACACCCCAGGUCAGAUUUUGUAAAUAGGCUCUGAAAGUUGAUAUGUUCACAUGAUUCUUUUUUUAAUUUGUGUUUAUCUGAAAUCCCCUAGGUUAACAGAUUUACAGGUACUUUGUGCAAUGAAGGGCAAUGCACUAGUCAAUUACUUUUCUAUCAACAACAACAGGAGGCCAUAACAAAAUAUUAACACUUGUUUUCUUGUAGACCUUGAUUUUGUCUACAAACUACACUAAUUUGUGUAGUUACCUGAAUUUUAAACUCUUAAUAAAAUAUAUAACUUGGAUUGGUGUAAUAUUUUGGUCCCGAAAUGUGAAAGAAUUCUAACAUGUUUUAUUGAUAUGCAGUAAUUGACUCUUUACUGUAGUAAAAUUAUUAAAUAAUCCUGGCACAGUUUCUACCUGUCCUUAACCAUUUAUGUUCCCCAAUGAAAGCAUACAUACAGCAUUUAUAUUUUUAAUAUGCCUAGGUAACAGAUUAUCUGUGCCACAAGCUGCCCUCUGUGCUGUUACACUCUACCUACUUAUGGCUAACUCCAAGUCAUCACUCCCUAUUUCUAUGUUCCAUCUGUGCUGCUCAGUUGGUCAUCCCACAGGCCACAUUUUCUUCACUCCUACACCAUGGCUGCUCUCUCCCCCUCCCUCCUGCAAUUCUUUUAUUAUUUCAUGGCAAUUUCUUUCUUUUUCCCUACUCCCCUCCUCAUGGUCUCCUGUUUCUAAGCCCUCAAAAAUCUCCUCCACAACUAUGUGUCUUCUCUCUAGCUAUUGGCUAUCUGCAUCUUUAUUUACCAAUCAGAAUUAACUUGGGGGCAGGGUCCUAGGGGCUAUCAGCAGACUCCAGGUUUUGUGGCCCUGCACUUAGCAUUACAACAGACAGUAAAAGACAAAACUUAAACACUUUACAAAUAUUAUUAGUUCAAUUAAAUUUUCAUUUUUAUUUUACUGAAAUUAUCACAGGAUCUGAAAUCUAGUACACAGCAUCUAUUUGUGGAUUUGAACUACUGAAAUAACCACAAAUCAACUCUUCCUCUUGAAUAUUGACAUAGAGUGAGCAAAACAAAUCUGACCAGUGUUUUUUAUUUUUAUUAGUACUGAAGGGAACUGGGAUGUAGGAAAGACAAGAAGAAAUAUGAAGCAGCUAAGACACAUUGGAAUGAAUGGUCGUACAUCUUUGUGAUCUGUUACCUGCAUUUACAUAAUCCCAUGAACAUACAACAUGCCCAUAGCAAAAUAAGCAGAAUUUGAUGAUCUCAGAUCUUGGAGAAGUUAAUACUGUUAUCAGCAGUGAACAAUGAAAGCUACCAUUGCAAAAGAAUCCAGGGAAGGUUGCUUAUGAUAACAAGUAAAGAUGAAAAAGGCCGAGAAGAAUUUUCUACUGUUUUAGUGAUAGGCAUUUGGAAAAAUCUCUUACAGAGGAAUAGGGCAUUAUUCUCCAAGAUGUCCUAAGUUGUAUUGCCAGAGGAUGGUGGCCUCAUCACUAUCAAGCUAGGUCAAGAUAUGUAUCUUAAACGGAUGCAUUUAACUGAAGCCCUUCUGGGUCAGGGCAAAGCUUUUCAGGCCUUUAUCCUGCCUCUUGGUACACUUUUUCCUCUAUAACUGCAGUAUAUCAUUAAGGUUCCAUCAUGAGACAGCAUAACAUAGAAUGUGACUUUGUGUGCAAAUGAUUCAUCUCCAAUUUGAGCUACCAUGUUUUUGAGAUUGCAUAGUUAAGCAAAGAAUUGGAAUUUAUGUUAGUUGGCAAGUUGUUAAAAAUUGUUGAAGAAAAGAUCCAAUCAUAGCUUAUAGCCCACCAAGGCUAAACUUUCUCUAGAAACAACUCCAAAAUGCUGAUUUGGGGGUGGGGUAUCUUUGGUCUACUAAAAUGUCUAUCUGAAAAUUGGGUCUGAAAAUUUGUAAAUUCACAGAGUUUUGCUACUCUUGUGAUUCUUUAAAUAACCAGUCUAUUGGCGUUAUGAGCAGUUCAGUAUAAUGAAGGAAAACAUCCUGAAUAAGGUGUGGGUUGUGCUGUGUCUGUCUGAGGAGUGUCAGCACAAGACCCUAGAGGACUUUCCAAGUGAUAUGAAUGUAAGACAUUUGCUCAGAUUUCUAUCUUCUCAAAUUAGCUAAAUUCAUGGCCUAAGAAAGACAGAUGAGUUAGACUAAAAUGUUCAUUUAAUUAAAAAUUCAGAGUCUAUAAAUAUGGCUGAGGAGUUAAGAGUGCUUUCUUCUCUUUCAAAGGACCAGAGAUUAGUCCCCCAAACCCAUUUCCCCAUUUCCAGCAACUCACAACUAUUUCUAACUCCCAGGAUUUAGACACAAGCUUCUGGGUUCUGUGGGUGCCCACACAUGUGGCACACACACCAAAAAUAAAAACUAAAAUAAUUAUUAAAAAGUAACCUUUAAGAAUGGCCCUCAGUCAAGGGAAGGGGCCACCCACCCAUCUCAAAGUUUUUAACCCAGAAAUGUUCCUGUCCAAAGCAAGAACAGGG